rnacentral:misc_RNA from 1 species
AAAAAAAAAAAAAAAAGACACUAAAUCAAUCAAAUUGUAGCACCAUAAUGAGAACAGUUAGCUCCAUUGAUAACAAAAAUUCAACAUUACAAACCAACAAUAUUCUUACAUUAUUAAAUACUGAUUCUACAAUAACCCAAAUCAACAAUGCAAAUUUGAUAAUUACUACAAAAUUAAGCAAUUAACACAUAAUUAAAUUCCCACAUAAUUACCAAAACGAGAAACGGCACACAAAUCUGAGAAAGAGGAUGAGAAGAAAAAUACCAGAGGAGAAGCAACAGAGA